rnacentral:rRNA from 1 species
GACAGAGGGGGCAAGCGUUGCUCGGAAUUACUGGGCGUAAAGGGUGUGCAGGCGGGGGGGCAAGUGGUGUAUGAAAUAUCCCAGCUUAACUGGGAGGGGUUAUGCCAGACUGCUACUCUAGAGGACGAGAGAGGGGCGUGGAAUUCCGGGUGUAGUGGUGAAAUGCGUAGAGAUCCGGAGGAACCCCAGAGGCGAAGGCGACGCCCUGGCUCGUACCUGACGCUCAGCCACGAAAGCAUGGGGAGCGAACGGG